CUGACUAGUAUCCAUGAGGGCGUGGGUUUGAUCCCUGGCCUCACUCAGUGGGUUAAGGGCCUGACAUUACUGUGGUGUAGCUAUGGUGUAGGUCACAGAUACCACUCAGAUCCUGCAUUGCUGUGGCUGUGGUGUAGACUGGCAGCUGCAGUUCCGUCCAAUUCAACCCCUAGCCUGGGAACUUCCAUAUGCUGUGGGUAUGGCCCUAAAAAGAUAAAACAACAACAAAAGAAUAGAGUAGAAUAAUGCUGGCACAUAGUAAGAUCUAAGUGCUAGGUAUUAUCAUGAUUAUUCUUACUCUCUCCAUUGAGCCAUUUAAGGGAUUUUUUUUCAAGGGCAACUCUGACUCCACAUGAUUUUUCCCUUACUUGCUGAUUUUUAAAAUCUCAUGGGGCUAACUUACAGAAAUCAGGACUCUCUGCCAGGCUUAUCUCCAAAUCUAAGUCCUCUCAGGAGGCCCAGGAAUUAUGAUCUUCCAGCUGGGUGGGAAGGAAGGCCACACCCCUACCCUCACCCGUUUCCUCCUUGUUGCUUGGCUAACCUUGAUGGAAACUUCCAGCAGAGAGUUUCUGCAGAGCAAUCCAUAAAGCAUGACCUAGAGCUAUAUUAAACCUACAAAAAUCAACUUCCAACGGUGAGAAACAGUUUCAUAUGAUAAAGUAGUGAUUACAUUUUCUAAUGAUUGCUCAAAGUAUUUUGUAAUCUAUAGAGAAUACAUUUCACAGCUCCCAGGAGCCCUCCCAGCUCCCCUAUUUGUCAUCCUAAGUUUUAAGUAGAGCACAGAAUAUGAAGAGAGCUAUCUUGGCAUAUAUUCUCCUCUGGGGAGCUCAGUAUAUGCAGUGCUCAGGCAAUUAACCUGUGUUUAGCCGGUCUGCCCAUGAUAAGGCUGUUUUGUCCCGGCAACAGAGACGAAACAUUGUGUAAAUGGCACAGUAGACCCCCACCCCUACCCCCAUCCCAAAUUUCUUUUUAAGAAAAUCACAUAUUUUUCAGACUCCAAGUGAAGUGCUAGUGUUUUCCCUUUUCCUAUGAGAAAGUAUUUUCUGUUAAAAAGUUGAGAGCUGGAAGUUCCCUUUGUGGAACGUGACUAGUAUCCAUGAGGAUGCGGGUUUGAUCCCUGGCCUCACUCAGUGGGCUAAGGAUCUGGCAUUGCCAUGAGCUGUGGUGUAGGUCGCAGAUGAGGCUCGGAUCUGGCAUUGCUGUGGCUGUGGCGUAGACUCUUAGCUGCAGCUCCUAUUUGACUCCUAGCCUGGGAACUUCCAUAUGCUGCACAUGUUGCCCUAAAAAGCAAAAAUAAAUAAAUGUGCUCUGAUUUAACAUUCUUUUUUCCCUGUUUUUUCUUCCUUCCUUCCUUCUUUCCUUCCUGCCUUCCUUCCUCCCUCCCUUUUGGUCCUUUUAUGGCUGCACCUGAGGCAUAUGUUGGUUCCGAGGCUAGGGGUCAAAUUGGAGCUGUAGCCGCUGGUCUACACCACAGCCACAGCAAAGUGGGUUCUGAGCUGCAUCUGCGACCUAUACCACAGAUCAUGGCAAUGCCGGAUCCUUAACUCACUGAGCCAGUCCAGGAUUGAACCCGUGUCCUCAUGGCUACCAGUUAGGUUCAUUAACUGCUGAACUCUUGAUUUAACAUUCUUCAUAAAAGCAGUUUCCUGAUCAGAGACAUUUUAGCUCUUUUUCUUGCUUCUUUGUCAACACUGCCCAAGUUCCCAAGGCAAGAAUUCCUGGCUUGAGAGGUUGGGGUUUGGACCCCAACCACAAAAGUUUACAGCUUUUCUGGAGAAAGAACAGGUGAUGCAGCUGGACAUGAAGGAAAUACUCUGGGUCUGGAUUUAAUAGGGUGUGGAGAAGGUGGAAGAAAGGCGAUAGAAAACUAAAGUGCGGGGCUGGGCAGAACCUCUUCUGGGCUAGAUCAGUGUUGGAUUGGAAAGUAGCUUUGUUGCUGCUCUCAAUACAGGAUCUUUGGCUGUGGCUGAGAAUAGUCUGCAUUAGAGUAGACCAGCCUACUCUGUACAAAGAUUGUUUUCUCAUUUGAAAAGAUGCACUGGAUCUCAAAGAUUGCUAUUCAAAACAAGCUAGGAUGAAUACUCUAAUAAAAGAUAUAAAAUAUUAAGUGGGAAGGGCUUUACGUAAAUUUUAAAAUGCAUACACAUAGGACAUGUCUAUCAUGUAUGUUUGUAUGCAUAUAUACAUGAGACAGGUUGUGACCUGGGACCCUUCGCUACAGUGCUUGCACAUGGACAAAUGUCUUCUUGAGCAAGAAAAUACAAAGAAACUACUAGGGACCAAAAACAGCUAUGUGCAUACCCAGCUGGGGCAAAUUAUAGGCAAGAUACGAAAAGACCAAAAAUCCAAUUGCCACUUCUGAAGAGCCGGGAGUAAAAAAAAAAAAAAAAAAAUAGGGUAUCAGGAGCAAAAGCAGGGCACUGCCCAUGCACCCUGCACAUGGCACCACCAAGGGGAUGGACAAACCCUAAGCCACUCCUCCUCUCACCCCAUAUAAGGGUAGGGGUGGGGGUCUACUGUGCCAUUUACACCCUCCGGAGUAGUGAGCAAAGGAAGAUGUUACUUGUUUUCCCGCCCCUCUGCUGUAGCAGGGGCCUCCAAUAAAGCUUCCCCUGAGUUUCUUAUCUGGCCUCUUGUCAAUUUCUAUUCAUUGAGGACGGCCAAGAAACCUUGUGGGUAACAGACACACAUUUAUGCCUGUGUUUGUGUGUGUGUGUCUGGGUAUCAUUAAAAGAGCACAAAUUUGGAGGCUGGACUGUUACUUCCAGUGACUUGCAACUCCAGGGCAGCAAUGACAUGGAAAAGAGCAGGGCAGCCUGCUCUCUAAGAGAUGUUCACUGUGUUCAAAAGGUCAUGUCAUGUUCCUGGCAAUUGACUCCAUGAAUUUGGAUUCUACAGUGUAGUUCUGGGCUGUUUCCACUCUGCCUGUGUUUCCUGCAGAACCUGCCUCCCAGUUGUUUUCACAUUGACCUCAUUACCCAGCCCUGGUGACAAGCCUGGCAGGCCUCUCUGCAGUGUCUGCUUGUUCAUGGCUGCCUUGCUCCCAAACCCCCACACCUCUGUCCAGGGUCGGGGUAGCGGGUAGGGGGAGCAUGGUGGGUGUGGAUGCCUCUCUCUUGGCUUUGAAAGGCUGAUACUGCCCCCACGAAGACCGGCUGUGGUCACUAAGUAAGGAGUGCUGGAUUGCAAGGGUGUACUAGAGGCUGUGGGGACUAUUCCACCCUCAUGGGAGGGUGGGGAGUGGAAGGAGGAGAAGGCAAGAGACACCCAGUUCCCUAGACUCGGAUUCUUAACCCAUGAACAGAUGGACUCAAUCAAGACCAACAUCAAAAUUCCAAAACCUCUGAACUCCUUUCAGAUCAGUUCUGGAAGCUCAUUUUGAGCCAUAAGUCAGUAUUUUUUCUUUUUUAAGUCCACUGGCUUAUAUAACUCCCGCCUGCAAAAGGCUCUCCCUGGUCACUUUCAAAAGAAUUACAGUGUUUGUGAAAACAAGGUCAUUCCAACCUUGGAAAAUGAACCCAUCUUAAAUUACUCAGUGAAUUCUAAGCUUUAUCCCCCAGACUACUGAGGAACUUGAACAUGAGUCCGUGGCCAAAGUGCUUCUUUCAUCUGAAUAUGAGGAAGCCAAGUGGACUAGGAUGGGGCUGGGAGUGGGCUCAUCAGACUGCCUCAGGCAUGGUCCCCUCCUCGUGUUUUGGUCAUGGCCAAGUUAUUAGAAAUCUCAGAGCCUGUCAAAUGGAGACCCUGUUUCAUGUCCUUUUUAUGAUUAAAUGAGAUCUCAUCCCAGGAAAACUUAAGUCUACUUUAAGCUUUUUAACACCAUAUUUCUGAGUUUUACUGUAGGACUAAUUCAUUCACUGGAGUCUGGCCAGUUAUCUGCUUAAGUUAGAAGAAGGAAAACUAAAGUCUGACAGGAAAGAGAACAUUCUGAACCAUGAAGGUCAAUCAGGCAGUAGAGUAAUUUUGCUCAAAAAGCUGUCAAGACACUAGCACUAGAGGUAUUCAAGGGAAAAUUGGAUGUAAUACUUAGGGAAAUCAUAUGGGAAGACUUUUUGCCCUUGUGUUCAAUGUCUGAAGGAGAUGACCUGGUGGCCAAUCUAUAAAUAAAAUGCCUUUGUGUUGUUUUUAUCUAAGAUUUUGGCCCUUUGGGAAUGAUGGGAUGUGUCGGGCAUUUUGAAAAGUGGUAAUAUGAAAAGCAUUGUAGUAAAAUGAAAGCCUGAUAUGUCUCUUCAUUAUAAAACUAUAUUAGAAAUGUACAGCCCAUUCUAAAACACAAAUCUGACCAUGUUGCUCAUUCUGCAUUAGAGCAGCCAGCCUAGUUUAUACAAGCAUGUAUGAUGAUUCAACACCACAGAACUUUGUUUUUUGCUUCACAGUUGGAGGCAGCUGUUCUGGCUGGCGGGAAUCUUUCUUCCACACAGUGAUUCAGGAAUCCAAUUUCUUUUGUCCUCUGGUUCCACCAUGCUCUACACCCUUGCCAUCCUCUGAAUGCAUUGGUGGAACGAGAAAGGAUAAGAAAGAGAGUCAGCCACUUCUUAAAAGCCUUAGCAAGAUCAGACACUAUCUUCCUUUUCACAUUCCAUUGGUGAGGAUCUGGUCACAUGGCCACACCUGCCAGCAAGUCAUGCUGGGAAGCGGGGUCCUCUGGAUGCCUGGGAAAAGGAGAGAUGGCCCACACUCUCUUUCCUUAAAGUCCUUCCUAAGAUUCCCUCUGCUCUGAGAUUAGAGCAUUUAUACCAGGCAGAACAAACAUUCAGUGGGUUAAGGAUCCGGCGUUGCCGUGAGCUGUGGUGUAGGUUGCAGAUGCAGCUCUGAUCUGGUGUUGCUGGGGCUCUGCUGUAGGCCGGCGGCUGUAGCUCCAAUUGGACCCCUAGCCUGGGAACCUCCACAUGCCACAGGAGCGGCCCCAGAAAAG
rnacentral:lncRNA from 1 species